rnacentral:rRNA from 1 species
ACUGCUCAGUAACACGUGGACAACCUACCCUGAAGAGGGGGAUAACCCCGGGAAACUGGGGAUAAUACCCCAUAGACUAUGGAUGCUGGAAUGCCCUGUAGUUCAAAGGUCCGCCGCUUCAGGAUGGGUCUGCGGCCGAUUAGGUUGUUGUUGGGGUAACGGCCCAACAAGCCUGUAAUCGGUACGGGUUGUGGGAGCAAGAGCCCGGAGAUGGAUUCUGAGACACGAAUCCAGGCCCUACGGGGCGCAGCAGGCGCGAAAACUUUGCAAUGCGAGAAAUCGUGACAAGGGAACUCCGAGUGCCUGUAAAAUCAGGCUGUCCGCCAGUGUAAACAACUGGUGAAGAAAGGGCCGGGCAAGACCGGUGCCAGCCGCCGCGGUAAUACCGGCGGCUCGAGUGGUGGCCACUAUUACUGGGCUUAAAGCGUUCGUAGCUGGCUUGUUAAGUCUCUGGGGAAAUCUUCCGGCUUAACCGGAAGGCGUCUCAGGGAUACUGGCAGGCUAGGGACCGGAAGAGGUGAGAGGUACUCCAGGGGUAGGAGUGAAAUCCUGUAAUCCUUGGGGGACCACCUGUGGCGAAGGCGUCUCACCAGGACGGCUCCGACAGUGAGGAACGAAAGCUGGGGGAGCAAACCGGAUUAGAUACCCGGGUAGUCCCAGCUGUAAACGAUGCGCGUUAGGUGUAUCGGUGACCACGAGUCACCGAGGUGCCGAAGAGAAAUCGUGAAACGCGCCGCCUGGGAAGUACGGUCGCAAGGCUGAAACUUAAAAGGAAUUGGCGGGGGAGCAC